rnacentral:rRNA from 1 species
UACGAAGGGGGCUAGCGUUGUUCGGAUUAACUGGGCGUAAAGGGUGCGUAGGCGGGUUUUUAAGUCAGGGGUGAAAUCCCGAGGCUCAACCUCGGAACUGCCUUUGAUACUGGAAAUCUUGAGUCUGGGAGAGGUGAGUGGAACUGCGAGUGUAGAGGUGAAAUUCGUAGAUAUUCGCAAGAACACCAGUGGCGAAGGCGGCCUACUGGUCCGAUACUGACGCUGAGGCACGAAAGCGUGGGGAGCAAACAGG